rnacentral:lncRNA from 1 species
AACGAAGUCUGGAUCGCGAUCAACACUUGAUCUCUUUUCUUGAUCUUCUUCUUCUCCUCUUCUUUAGAAUUUCUCUCAUUGCUAUAUGCUACUACCAGAUGUUAGAAAUUAGCAAGGAAGAGGCACCCAACAACUUUUGGACGUGGGACUCCUGGGGACUCGCAUCCCAAGAGAAAGGGGGUGUGGGACGCCCAAGGGAAGAGAAAGGGAG